CCUACGGGGGGCUGCAGUGAGGAAUAUUGGUCAAUGGGCUUACGCCUGAACCAGCCAAGUCGCGUGAGGGAAGACUGCCCUAUGGGUUGUAAACCUCUUUUGUCAGGGAGCAACGCCGGCUACGUGUAGCCGGCCUGAGAGUACCUGAAGAAAAAGCAUCGGCUAACUCCGUGCCAGCAGCCGCGGUAAUACGGAGGAUCCGAGCGUUAUCCGGAUUUAUUGGGUUUAAAGGGAGCGUAGGUGGAUUGUUAAGUCAGUUGUGAAAGUUUGCGGCUCAACCGUAAAAUUGCAGUUGAAACUGGCAGGCUUGAGUACAGUAGAGGUGGGCGGAAUGCGUGGUGUAGCGGUGAAAUGCUUAGAGAUCACGAAGAACUCCGAUUGCGAAGGCAGUUCACUGGACUGCAACUGACACUGAGGCUCGAAAGUGUGGGUAUCAAACAGGAUUAGAUACCCCUGUAGUC
rnacentral:rRNA from 1 species